rnacentral:rRNA from 1 species
UACGAAGGGGGCUAGCGUUGCUCGGAAUCACUGGGCGUAAAGCGCACGUAGGCGGCUUUCUAAGUCAGGGGUGAAAUCCUGGAGCUCAACUCCAGAACUGCCUUUGAUACUGGGGAGCUCGAGUCCGGAAGAGGUGAGUGGAACUGCGAGUGUAGAGGUGAAAUUCGUAGAUAUUCGCAAGAACACCAGUGGCGAAGGCGGCUCACUGGCCCGGUACUGACGCUGAGGUGCGAAAGCGUGGGGAGCAAACAGG